rnacentral:rRNA from 1 species
UACGUAGGGUGCAAGCGUUAAUCGGAAUUACUGGGCGUAAAGAGUGCGUAGGCGGCUAUGUAAGACAGAUGUGAAAUCCCUGGGCUUAACCUAGGAACUGCAUUUGUGACUGCAUGGCUAGAGUGUGGUAGAGGGAGAUGGAAUUCCGCAUGUAGCAGUGAAAUGCGUAGAUAUGCGGAGGAACACCGAUGGCGAAGGCAAUUCCCUGGACCUGUACUGACGCUCAUGCACGAAAGCGUGGGGAGCAAACAGG